UCAGCUUUGGUGUAAGGGCACGUUGGGAUUUGGACUCAAAGGAAAAUAGGAAAUAUUAUUGUUGAG
rnacentral:tRNA from 1 species